AAAAUCCGUCGAUUUUAGWAAUCGUGAGGGUUCAAGUCCCUCUAUCCCCA
rnacentral:tRNA from 4 species